rnacentral:rRNA from 1 species
UACGUAGGUGGCAAGCGUUAUCCGGAUUUAUUGGGCGUAAAGGGAACGCAGGCGGCCUUUUAAGUCUGAUGUGAAAGCCUUCGGCUUAACCGGAGUAGUGCAUUGGAAACUGGGAGACUUGAGUGCAGAAGAGGAGAGUGGAACUCCAUGUGUAGCGGUGAAAUGCGUAGAUAUAUGGAAGAACACCAGUGGCGAAGGCGGCUCUCUGGUCUGCAACUGACGCUGAGGCUCGAAAGCAUGGGUAGCGAACAGG